rnacentral:rRNA from 1 species
CGGCGCACAUAAGACAUGCAAGUCGAACGGAAGUCGUUAUACUGAUUAGAUAGGAACAGAGAACUGUUCAACGGGACUUGAAGAAGAUUUAUAACAAUGGCUUUAGUGGCGGACUGGUGAGUAAUACGUAAGCAACCUGCCUAUUAGAGGGGAGCAACAGUUAGAAAUGACUGCUAAUACCGCAUAUGCCAUAAGAAUCGCAUGGUUCAAGUGGGAAAGGAGUAAUCCGCUAAUAGAUGGGCUUACGGCUGAUUAGCUAGUUGGUGUGGUAAUGGCAUACCAAGGCGACGAUCAGUAGCCGGACUGAGAGGUUCAACGGCCACAUUGGGACUGAGAUACGGCCCAGACUCCUACGGGAGGCAGCAGUCGGGAAUUUUGCGCAAUGGAGGAAACUCUGACGCCAGUGACGCCGCGUGCAGGAAGAAGGUUUUCGGAUUGUAAACUGCUUUAGACAGGGAAGAAAAAGGACAGUACCUGUAGAAUAAGCUCCGGCUAACUACGUGCCAGCAGCAGC